rnacentral:rRNA from 1 species
AGAGUUUGAUCCUGGCUCAGGACGAACGCUGGCGGCGUGCUUAACACAUGCAAGUCGAGCGAUGAAACACCUUCGGGUGUGAAUUAGCGGCGAACGGGUGAGGAACACGUGAGAAAUCUGCCUUCAACACUGGGAUAACUCCGGGAAACCGGGGCUAAUACCGGAUAUGAAAUCUGCGGGCAUCCGCGGAUUUGGAAAGUUUUUCGGUUGAAGAUGAUCUCGCGGCCUAUCAGCUUGUUGGUGAGGUAAUGGCUCACCAAGGCGACGACGGGUAGCCGGCCUGAGAGGGCGACCGGCCACACUGGGACUGAGACACGGCCCAGACUCCUACGGGAGGCAGCAGUGGGGAAUAUUGGGCAAUGGAGGAAACUCUGACCCAGCGACGCCGCGUGCGGGAUGAAGGCCUUCGGGUUGUAAACCGCUUUCAGCAGGGAAGAAGCGAAAGUGACGGUACCUGCAGAAGAAGCACCGGCUAACUAUGUGCCAGCAGCCGCGGUAAUACAUAGGGUGCAAGCGUUGUCCGGAAUUAUUGGGCGUAAAGAGCUCGUAGGUGGUUCGUCACGUCGGAUGUGAAAAUCUGGGGCUUAACCCCAGACCUGCAUUCGAUACGGGCGAGCUUGAGUAUGGUAGGGGAGUCUGGAAUUCCUGGUGUAGCGGUGGAAUGCGCAGAUAUCAGGAGGAACACCAAUGGCGAAGGCAGGACUCUGGGCCAUUACUGACACUGAGGAGCAAAAGCGUGGGGAGCGAACAGGAUUAGAUACCCUGGUAGUCCACGCCGUAAACGGUGGGCACUAGUUGUGGGGACCUUCCACGGUCUCUGCGACGCAGCUAACGCAUUAAGUGCCCCGCCUGGGGAGUACGAUCGCAAGAUUAAAACUCAAAGGAAUUGACGGGGCCCCGCACAAGCAGCGGAGCAUGCGGCUUAA